AUGUUGAGAGUUCCCC
rnacentral:sRNA from 1 species